ACCUCGCCCACUUUUUUAUCACAUGAUUAAAUCUCCAAUGCAUGACUAAUAUCAGAUAAUUCAAUCAUUCUGUCUAGCUUCGCCUGAUCGGCCUUAGUCACUCUCGUAAAUUAAUGACUGCCUGUGGAUCAGACACAAAGUAGGAAACAUUAGGAAGAACAAAGACAGAUGAAACCAUGAACAGUGGAAGUGUCCAGAAAGCCCGGCAGAAAAUGGCCCAGUUUCCAGCUGCCUUUGCUGAAUGUACCCCACAGGCACUUGCAUAUGGUCGGUGCGUAUCUAGCAAGGACCACGUAGGCAGAAAUGAUUGUGGCAAAGAGUUUCAAACCUACAAGGAGUGCCUUCAAAAAGCAAUGAGCAAGAUAAAGAAAUGAAUGCUUUGGGUGUAAAGAGGAAAGAAGAUGAAGUAUCAGCUCUGCAAUGUCAUCAAGGAUGCAUGGUGGUGUGCUGCUGAUACUCUGCCUUCUUAAGCUUUGAAGUUGCUGUGAUGCCAUCUAAAGUUAUCAGAAUAUCGAAGCCUUCUCCAGACAGACAAAGAUUGUGAAGGCGCAUCAACCAACGGCCGUCUUCAGACUCUUCACCGACACACCUAGCUGUACUGAGAUCAACGAGGAGCAGCUGAGAGAGUGGUGACCACAACCCUGUCUUAUAAAGAGUUGAUAUCAAUUUACAACUACAGGUAUGUACAUAUGAGAUAGAUCGUGAUUGCAGCCUUGCGAUUGAUUGGAGGACUUGUGAUUGAUUUGGAUCAAUCAUAACUCUUUAUAAGACGGGCUCAGAUAUUUUCUCCAGCAAAAAUUGCUCAGGCUCCAGACUGAUAAAGCGUUGUGAAGGUGCAUCAACAUAAAGCAGUCUUCACCAACAUACCUAGCUGUACUGUAGUCGACGAGGGACAGGUGAGAAGGUGGUGACCAGAUAUUUGUUCUUGCAAAAAUUGCUCACAAUUCGGACUGAUACGGAAUUAUAGAGAUGCAUCAACCAACAAGAAGCUUCACCAACAUACCUACACUGUGUAGCUAUACUGUGAUCAAUGAGGACCAGCUGAGAGGGUGCUGAUCUUACAUCUGCUCUUGACAAAAAAAAAAUUGCUUUAGGCUUUAUGUCGCCAAAGAUAUAGGGUUGAGUUUGCAUUUGGAUUUCCUGAUAGGUUUACGUUAAGGAUUGUUUUAAUGUUUGUCCAAGGGUUGAAGUUUGGAAUUGGCUUGGUUCAGGAAAUGGUCCACGGAGCUCUUGUCCUUGUGGCCCCUACCUACCUUAUGAUGACUGGACUGCUUUUCGGGAGAAAAUACAAGAUAAGAUUAAAAAUUGAGAUAUUGUGAGCCUUCUAGUCAGCCAAAUGGUCUAAUCAGACUUUCAGAUCAUGAUUGACUUUUUUUUUCUCAAGGUGGGAGACAAAAAAUGCCUUGGUGCUACUGUACACGUACCUCUUCAAGGUAAUUGUAUCCAAUUUCUAAUAUCAGGGAGAAUUGCAUAUCAGAUUUGUUUUUCUUCAAACAAAGUCUGAUUAAUAUCCAGAUAUGUGUUCCUUAUUCAAAGCAAGUCUGUGAGAUGAAAAUAAUGGCUAAUAAAAAAGAAAGAGCAGUUUUUCACAAA